CUCUUUACUUUAGAGAAGGCUGGGGAACAGAAGGCUGAAACCAACUGUGUGCAGAGUUCUCAGGCCUCUGCCAAAAAUGAGCAGGACCUGCCCGACACCUUCUCCGCUACAACCUCUUUUUCUACUGUCACUGCCCAUUGUCAUGGUGGCUCCCCAAAGGUGAGCCUGAGUCCAUAUUUGCAAGCUUUGCCCUGAAGACAAUUAUAUAUCUGAUUGCUGUGGCUGCAGAGGCUUAGAAUCCUUCAGGGGCAGGAGAGGUCCUGGCAGUAACAGUUAUUCUCUAUAAGUUCUUAUGUGCCAAGAAAGCUCUGAAGUGCUUGAUAUGCAUCAUUUCAUUUGUUCCUUACCCAAAUCCAUUGAUAGUAAAAGAAGCUAAUUCUUAGGUUAAGUAUUAAUCACUUGUUUAAGGUUACAGACCUCAUAAAUGAUGAGGAUUAAACCCAGGUUUGUCUGACUCUAAAGCCAAUCUGUGCUCUGUAGAGAAGAGGGAAAGAGAAAUUGCCACCUCCCCAGCAUUUCAUUGAAUCUAAAUACAUUUUAUUUUUUUCUUUCCUGGAAUCCAAAGCAUGUCAAAGACAUUUCAGCCAUAAACCUGGUUAUUUUUUCCUAUUAAGAACAAACAUGAUGGGCCAGGCACAGUGAGUGGCUGACCCGUGUAAUCCCAGCACUUUGGGAGGCCAAGGCAGGCAGAUCACUUGGGCUCAGGAGUUCAAGACCAGCCUGGGCAACAUGAUGAAACCCCGUCUUUACAAAAAAA
rnacentral:lncRNA from 1 species